CCUACGGGUGGCAGCAGUGGGGAAUAUUGCGCAAUGGGCGAAAGCCUGACGCAGCGACGCCGCGUGAGGGAUGAAGGUCUUCGGAUCGUAAACCUCUGUCAGCAGGGAAGAACGGUCACUGUGCUAAUCAGCAGUGAAUUGACGGUUCCUGCAAAGGACGCACCGGCUAACUCCGUGCCAGCAGCCGCGGUAAGACGGAGGGUGCGAGCGGUAAUCGGAAUUACUGGGCGUAAAGCGCUCGUAGGCGGUAUGUCAAGUCAAGGGGGAAAUCCCCGCGCUCAACGUGGGAACUGCCGUUGAAACUGGCAAACUGGAGUGUGUGAGAGGAUAGUGGAAUGCCAGGUGUAGGAGUGAAAUCCGUAGAUAUCUGGAGGAACAUCAGUGGCGAAGGCGACUAUCUGGCACAUAACUGACGCUGAGGAGCGAAAGCGUGGGUAGCAAACAGGAUUAGAUACCCGGGUAGUC
rnacentral:rRNA from 1 species